UGUCCUCAGUCCCGGGUCGUCUCGGCGCGGUUCCGAGCGGUCGCUCCCUCGCGAGGUGCCGCGGGUCAGCGGCUGACGCCAGCCACCUUCCCGACCCGUCUUGAAACACGGACCAAGGAGUCUAACAUGUGCGCGAGCCGCGGGGCAGUACGAAACCCGUAAGGCGAAAUGAAGGUGAACGCCGGCGCGGUCCGGCGGAGGUUGGAUCCCGUCCCGUCGGGGCGGGCGCACUACCGGCCGAUCUUCUCCGCCCUGUCGGCGAGGUCGAGCGAGAGCGUGCAAGUCGGGACCCGAAAGAUGGUGAACUAUGCCUGAGGAGGUUGAAGCCAGAGGAAACUCUGGUGGAGGACCGUAGCGAUUCUGACGUGCAAAUCGAUCGUCAAAUUUGGGUAUAGGGGCGAAAGACUAAUCGAACCGUCUAGUAGCUGGUUCCCUUCGAAGUUUCCCUCAGGAUAGCUGGCGCUCUGUCGCCGUUUUAUCUGGUAAAGCCAAUGAUUAGAGGUCUUGGGGGGCGAAACGCCCCUCCACCUAUUCUCAAACCUUUAAAUU
rnacentral:ncRNA from 1 species